UCCGUAGGUGAACCUGCGGAAGGAUCAUUGACAAAACCUGCAAAGGCAGAACCACUCGCGAACAUGUUAACAAAAAUCAUUGCAACUGCACGGCGUGCUGGCGUGCCCUUGGGUUCCGCUGUCGCUCCAUUGUAGUUGCGACCCCCUGCAUCUGGCGCCUUGCGCGCCUUUUGUAGGGCAACCAAACCCCGGCACGAGUCGUGCCAAGGAACACUAAUGCAACUAUCAGGGGGUGCUUCAUCCCCUAACGUUUUAAACAAAACGACUCUUGACAACGGAUAUCUAGGCUCUUGCAUCGAUGAAGAACGUAGCGAAAUGCGAUACUUGGUGUGAAUUGCAGAAUCCCGUGAACCAUCGAGUUUUUGAACGCAAGUUGCGCCCAAAGCCUUCUGGCCGAGGGCACGUCUGCCUGGGCGUCAUAAUUCGUCACCCCCCACCAUGCCUUCGUGCAUAUGGGCUGGGUGGAUGCUGGCUUCCCGCGUCCCCUAGUCGCGGUUGGCCGAAAUAAAUUAGCCCAAAGGCAUUGCCUGCAGCGGCCUAGGUGGAUCCAAUGUCCCUCUAACUCUGCCGCGCAUGGCGUGCCGACGGCGCUACUAGCCCCCCUCGUAUUUCCCCUUGUGGGAUAUACCCCAUGGUGACCCCAGGUCAGGCGGGACUACCCGCUGAGUUUAAGCAUAUCAAUAAGCGGAGGA
rnacentral:rRNA from 1 species